AAGAACAAACACGUAGGUUUUUAGGCAAAAGCGAGGAAUAGAUCAAUUAAAAAUUAAAAAAUAUAGAAAAAAAUAAAAAUAAAAAAUAAAAAAGGCAUUUGAACAUAUUAAUUUAAAAAUACUGAUACAAAAGAUAUUACCCCUCGGUUGGCCAUGAAACCAAGGAAAUAUACAAAUUAAAAAAAUUAAUAAAAGAAUGCAUUUGAAAAUAUUAAAU
rnacentral:lncRNA from 1 species